CAAGCGUUGUCCGGAUUUAUUGGGUUUAAAGGGUGCGUAGGCGGAUCUUUAAGUCAGUGGUGAAAGCCUGCAGCUUAACUGUAGAACAGCCAUUGAAACUGAAGAUCUUGAAUGUGGUUAAAGUAGGCGGAAUGUAUCAUGUAGCGGUGAAAUGCUUAGAUAUGAUACAGAACACCGAUAGCGAAGGCAGCUUGCUGAACCAUUAUUGACGCUGAGGCACGAAAGCGUGGGGAGCGAACAGG
rnacentral:rRNA from 1 species